rnacentral:rRNA from 1 species
CUAGUUGGUAGGGUAACGGCCUACCAAGGCUUUGAUCGUUAGCUGGUCUGAGAGGAUGGCCAGCCACACUGGAACUGAGACACGGUCCAGACUCCUACGGGAGGCAGCAGCGGGGAAUCUUGCACAAUGGGCGAAAGCCUGAUGCAGCGACGCCGCGUGGGGGAUGAAGCAUCUCGGUGUGUAAACCCCUUUCGACCCGGAAGAAUGCCUCGCAAGAGGACUGACGGUACGGGUAUAAGAAGCCCCGGCUAACUACGUGCCAGCAGCCGCGGUAAGACGUAGGGGGCCAGCGUUGUUCGGAAUUACUGGGUGUAAAGGGUUCGUAGGCGGUGUGGCAAGUUGGGAGUGAAAUCUCUGGGCUCAACCCAGAGGCUGCUUCCAAAACUGCUGUGCUUGAGUGUGGGAGAGGCGCGUGGAAUUGCAGGUGUAGCGGUGAAAUGCGUAGAUAUCUGCAGGAACACCCGUGGCGAAAGCGGCGCGCUGGACCACUACUGACGCUGAGGAACGAAAGCUAGGGGAGCAAACAGGAUUAGAUACCCUGGUAGUCCUAGCCCUAAACGAUCAGGACUUGGGGUGCCACCCGUUCGGGUGUCGUCCCGGAGCUAACGCGUUAAGUCCUGCACCUGGGGAGUACGGUCGCAAGACUGAAACUCAAAGGAAUUGACG